rnacentral:lncRNA from 1 species
UUUUGAAAAAAUGUUUGUUUAAUAGUAAUCAAUUAUAAUUAAAGUAUAUUAAAUAAUAUUAUAUACAUCAGGUAUAUGGUCAGUUUUAGAUUCUGAGGACUGUCUCAGGUUUAUGGUGAUGUUUAUUUUAAUGCAACUAUAUAGGUAAUAUUACAUUAAAAUUAUAUAUUACAACAAAUUCUACACCAAUAUGAGUGAUUCCACUAACUAAUUGAGACUUGUAGGUACCAGCCCAUAGAUAAUAUACUACUCAUGAACCAGCCCCACUAUAUGCACAUACUGUAACUUCAGACACUCCUAUCUUCAAUGCUUCAAAUAACCACCUCUGUAGUAUUAUUUUUUCUUAUGGAUAAACAGAUGAACCCCAACAAGUGGGAACUGCAUUACUUCCCAACAUGGUGCAUCCUUUAUUAAAACAAUAAAUAUUAAUUACACCUAGUUAACGGUAUCAUUAUUGAAAAUGCUUCUAUAGACAGGGUGGGACCUGACUAACCUGCCAAUCUAGAAGCCCUGAUAAGAUAAAUUUAUAUACCCCAAAAAAAUAUCAACAAUUGUUCUAUAUCUAAAUAAGCAAAUUUUUAUUCUCAUCUUAUAUAUUCAUGCAUCUAUGAAAUCACUCAAUAUUCUCAUCUAUACUUAUAAAAUCCAAAUACCACUCACUCACUGAUCACUGUAUCUCAAAAACUACUCAACGUACAGACUUGAAAUUUGGAAUAGGGGUUCUUCUCAUAUUUUCACCGUGCAAUAAGAAAGGAUUUUCAAAAAUGUUGCGUUUUAGUAGAGUAAUUAACAAUUAUAAUUAUUCACCGCCAUAAAUUUAUAUACCCCAAAAAAAUAUCAACAAUUGUUCUAUAUCUAAAUAAGCAAAUUUUUAUUCUCAUCUUAUAUAUUCAUGCAUCUAUGAGAUCACUCAAUAUUCUCAUAAUAUAAUAUAAUUUGACUUCUAUUAUCUGUACAUAUCACAUUACACCUCGCUAAGUUAUGAAUGCAAACGUCAUAUAUUUAUAUGAAAUAACUAUAUAGAUAGAAUAUUGCAAGUGAAUAUUAUAGCAGGCAGUGACAUAACAAGAGGGAUGAUCCUUGGAUCUGGAUCUAUCUUAGAGUACUCUGUACUCGUAUAAUACAUAACACUAUAGACAGUUUAACUAUAGUAAAUACAAAAUACCCAUAUUAAACAAAUAAUUAUAAUAUUUAAAUAUUAUUGUUUUGUAGAUACUAUUUUAUUCUUUCAUUACUGCAUUGCUACCAUUAAUAAUUUGAUUAAAAAUUAUAAUAUUAAUGAUAUUUAAUAUUGAUGAAAUUUGUUUAAUUUAUAAAUUCUUAUUGUUGCCAGAUAGACGUUGGGUGUGUCAGAAUAAUUGUGGACGUACAUAUUUAAACAAAAAGAGUCUUAUCCGUCAUUUAAGGUAUUGCAUUUCGUCAAAAAGCUAUUUUAAUGAAUACAAAAAAUCCUGAAUUAGAAGUCCGUUUCUUCUGUUUAAAUAUGUGUGGUCGGAGCUAUAAGAAUAAACAGCAUUUGACCCGCCACAUGACCAAUGAAUGUGGUGUACAACCAAAGUUUCAAUGUAAAUACUGCAAGAAAUGUUUCACACGAAAACAGACAUUAAAAAUACAUUUAGUAUCUGUGCAUAACCGUUCACCAGAUGAAAUCCAAGGAAACCCUCGUCACCGUUUAAAUUGGACCACUGAUAAUUGAAUUCUAUCAUGUUUUAUCUUGAUAUUUUUAGUUUUUAAUACAAUUAAGCUAGCUAAGAUUUCCAUGUAUAUAUUCUAUUAUUUUACAAAAUUAUAAUUUCAUUUUUAUAGUUAUACACAUUUAUUUUAUUUUUGGGAAAAUGAUGACAGUUAAAAGAGGACUAUUGUUGAGACUUAUUGAUUGACAUGUCAUUGUUUAUCCUUACAUUAAACGCUUAGUGUACUCGUACUACCAAUAAACAUUUUUUUAGAAAUAUAUUAUAUCUCAAUAAUUAUAUUCAUACCUAAUUAUUGUUUGUCGCAAACGCUAUACACAUAUUAUGCUAAACAUACAAGUAUACAAUAGGGAUUUCACAAUUUAUAGUCUAACAGAGAAAUCUUUUGACGUUCACCGAAAAGCUGUUCUGAUGCAAGCAGCGAUCACUGGAGUCAAUACUAAAAUUUGUUUGACCCAUGAAUUAUUUGAAUUUAAAUAUUGUGUAAAAACACAUAGAUAUAUACAUAAAUAUAAGAUUGAUAGGUACAAGGUACUUCAUAUUUUUUUCAUUUUUGUCAGUACCAACUUCCAAUCUAAAACACAAUCUACACAAAAUAAUUAAAUAAAUAUUGUUAAAUUUGAAAUCUAUUGACAUUAUUAUUUACGGAGAAAGAAAAUGUGUAUUUAUUCAUUGAUUGUGCUGAUGUUUGUGAUCUUCAAGAAUUUUAUAAUAAUAAUUAUUCCUAAAAAUAUAUUAUGUGUUAAAAUUUGUUUUAUAUUGAUGUGAUUUUUUAUCAAAUUGUAAAUGGUAAUGCUUGUACAAAAAGUUGAACUUUUAAAACUAUGCUACAUUGAUUAGGAUUGUAAUUCAUUAUACUAUACUCUAUGUUUUUCAAAAUGUUAGUUUGAUUUAGAUUCAAUUAUAGUAAUGCACAUUGUUCAAAAAUUAAUAUAUAUAAUAGUUGAAUACUUGAAUAGCAUAAGUAUGUAUUAAAAUAGAAAGUUUGAAACAAGCUAUUUUAGAAAGUUUUAAUAAUUCUUAAGAUACCUAUAGUUGGCAUUUAUCAGAAGUAGUGUAUUACCAAUAUACCAUGACUAUAAAAGACAAAAGAUGUUCUGCACAGUGCAUAAACACAUUAUGUUUACUUUAUUUUAAUUAUUUGCUUGUUACGUUUGUCUAUAGAUGAUCAGAGAAUUCAGAUCUCACUUACCCAGAAUUUAUAUUGUAUAGCAUAUAUAAAAUAUUUAAAUAUAUCAAGUCUUAGAA